AUAGAGGUCCAGCCUGCCAGUGAUAUUUUUUAACGGCCGCGGUACUCUGACCGUGCGAAGGUAGCAUAAUCACUUGUUCUUUAAAUGAGGACUAGUAUCAACGGCAUCACGAGGAUUUUACUGUCUCCUUUUUCCUAUCGGUGAAACUGAUCUCCCCGUGAAGAAGCGGGGAUAAUUCUAUAAGACGAGAAGACCCCAUGGAGCUUUAAACCCAGAGACACCUCAAACCCCCCCCUUUCCAUAAAAGUUUUUAUGUGCUGUCCUCUGGUUUUAGGUUGGGGUGACCGCGGAGUAAAACUUAACCUCCACAACGCACGGAACUUCUUCCUUAUCUAAGAGCAACAUCUCAAAGAAUUAACAUAUUGACGUAAAAUGAUCCAAUAACUUUUAUUUUGAUCAACGAACCAAGUUACCCUGGGGAUAACAGCGCAAUCCAUUUCCAGAGCCCCUAUCGACAAAUGGGUUUACGACCUCGAUGUUGGAUCAGGGUAUCCCAGUGGUGCAGCCGCUACUAAUGGUUUGUUUGUUCAACAAUUAAAACCCUACGUGAUCUGAGUUCAAACCGGAGA
rnacentral:rRNA from 1 species